GACGAACGCUGGCGGCGUGCUUAACACAUGCAAGUCGAACGGAAAGGCCUGCUUUCCCUUGUGGAUUGCGGGUACUCGAGUGGCGAACGGGUGAGUAACACGUGAGUGAUCUGCCCCCAACUUGGGUAUAAGCCUGGGAAACUGGGUCUAAUUCCCGAUAGGACUGCAGGGUGGUGCCUGUGGUGGAAAACGAUUUUCUAGUGGUUGGGGAUGAGCUCGCGGCCUAUCAGCUUGUUGGUGGGGUAAUGGCCUACCAAGGCGGCGACGGGUAGCCGGCCUGAGAGGGUGGACGGCCACAUUGGGACUGAGAUACGGCCCAGACUCCUACGGCAGGCAGCAGUGGGGAAUAUUGCACAAUGGGCGGAAGCCUGAUGCAGCGACGCCGCGUGGGGGAUGACGGCCUUCGGGUUGUAAACUCCUUUCGACCGCGAGGAAGCCACCUGGUUGGAAGGGUGGUGACGGUAGUGGUAGAAGAAGCACCGGCUAACUACGUG
rnacentral:rRNA from 1 species